CCCUUAGAUGUUCUGGGCCGCACACGCGCUACGCUGAAGGAGGCAGCGUGUACUCCUGGAUCGAAAGAUUUGGGUAACCCGCGAAUCUCCUUCGUGCUAGGGAUUGAGGUUUGCAAUUAUCCUUCAUGAACGAGGAAUUCCCAGUAAGUGCAAGUCAUAAGCUUGCGCUGACUGCGUCCCUGCCCUUUGUACACACCGCCCGUCGCUACUACCGAUUGAAUGAUUUAGUGAGGACUUCGGACUGGGACCGAUGCGGCUUUCGGGCUGCGUCGGUAUUCUGGAAAGAUGUCCAAACUGUAUCAUUUAGAGGAAGUAAAAGUCGUAACA
rnacentral:rRNA from 1 species